ACCGAGGCCAAGCCAUGGCGGAGCUGCAGCAGUUACAGCAGCUGCAGGAGUUUGAUAUCCCCACGGGCCGGGAGGCUCUGCGGGGCAACCACAGCGCCCUGCUACGGGUGGCCAACUACUGCGAGGAUAACUACUUGCAGGUAAGUGGAGAUGGCUCAGGUCAGGAUACACCUCACAGGGACCUGCAGCAUAGUCCCUCUGGUAGGGUCAUCUGACAGGUAUCUGUUCCUGCCUUGGCUGAGCAAUCUUCAGGCUUCAACGCAAUCCCCAAGCUUCCUAAAAGCCAUAGCCCUUGUUCUCGGGCCAUAGCCUCAGAGGUAGAGGGUAUGUGUAUAACGCUGUAUCUAUAAUCGAUUCUCACACCUUACCUCUCACAGGUGCCGGGACUGUCUUUAAGCUGGCUCUAGGGGAACCAGAACACUUCCCACUCACGGGAAAGGGGUUUGUCCCUUGAUGUUUGAGGGGGAACAGAGGAGAGUCGGAGCAGACCCUGAGGAAAGAACGCGGUGUGGUGCAGAGGCAGGGGACUCCCAGUCUGGCUGCUGGGAAAUGAGAGGCACUGUAGAGCAGCCGCAGACCUUUCCACAAUGUGUGGAUUUUGAGACAGCGUCUCACUGUGUGGCCUCCGCUGCCUUAGAGUUCACUGUAGUCCAGGCUGACCUUGAGUUCACUGUUGCCCAGGCUGCCCUUGAGUUCAUUGUAGCCCAGGCUGGCCUCAGAUUUACAAUCCUCCUGUCUCAGCCUUCCCUCAGUGCUGGGACUACAGGCUCCCACCACCUCACCUGGCCAUUGUUUGUGUCAAGUCGUUUUGUUUCAGUUUCUAAGGCAUUGGGAGGGGAGCCCAGGGCUGUCUGGGAAAACCUCUUCUGCUGAGCUAAGCUCCACUCCACCCUGGAGUAGUCUUGCUCAUAUAACAUUGACUCCUGGGGAAGGAAGAUGGGCAGAGAGGACUUUAUGAUUGCCCACCCUCACAGCCACCAUGUGAAACAAAGACUAUAAUUCCUGUAGAUGAAUGCGAAAACAGCAGUGUGUGUGUGUGUGUGUGUGUGUGUGUGUGUGUCACCCAGCUCUGGAUAGCAGAGCCAAGCAUGGCUUCCCUGCCUUCUCAUCUGAGCCCCUUCCUCUCCAUCCUUCUAUCUGUCUGAUAUAGUGUAUGGCGCUGGACAGUUUAUCUGUACCCCUGGUCCUUGGUUUCCUCUGCUCUAAGAGUGACAGACCAAGUCUGCAACCUCUUACUGAGCAAAGCAAAGCAAAAUCCUAGCCAGACUGUGAGACAGCACCAGGGGCCUCCUCCUGUAGCUGGGGAGAAAAAAGACCCGAAGGCCUAUGGGAAAUGGCAGAGCAAAGAGGCAAUGAUAGGCAAGUUCUCUCUGCACCCACAGCCUCUAUUUGUCCCUUCCCCAGUCCUACCUGGUGCGCACUAUGCACACUUCACAAUGAGAAAGCUGCCCUUUGGAAAGGGACUGUAUUUCCUGAUUCCUCCAAGGUAGUCACCAAGACAGGAUUCGAACUCGGAACUAUAGAUGGUUGUGGUGGCCCAUACCUGUAAUCCCAGUACUUGGGAGGCUAUGGCAGAGGGAUCUUAGAAAGUUCUACCUGUUUUCUAGUCUGCAUAAGUGAGUCCAAGCCAGUCAGGAUUAAAUAGCAAGAUGCUACCUCCAAUAAACCAAACUCAGCAAAGCAAAAUCCCAAAUCAAAGAGCAGCUAGGAUUCUGACUCCUGUGCCCAGUGCUACCUUGAGUGUCAUUCCAGUGUGUGUGUGUGUGUAUGUGUGUGUGUGUGACACUGAGUGACCAGCCUGAUGAUCUGACAUGUGGUUUAUUACCAGUCCUGCCUGCCCUGCACUUAGGCAUUCUCCUUCCCUGGCAGGGAUGGAAAUAGGCCUUUCCGUUCCAUCGGUGUCUUCCCACACCUCAAAGUGCUGCUAGUGGGUGCAAUCCCACAUGUGUAAUUUGUGUGCACGCAGGAUCUGAAGUCACAAAGCUGAGUCACCAGGUCUGCCACCUAUUUACGUAGAAAUGUGUAGUAUGUUUCCCAUUGAGGGGUCUUUCUCUCUCUCUCUUUCUUUCUUUCCUUCUUUCUUUUUUCCAUCCUUCCUUCCAAUAUUGCCACUCUGUAGCUCAGGCUGGCCUUGAAUUUAUGACCUGCCCAGCUUCCCCCCAAAUCCCCCCAAAGACUAUUCCAGGCCUGUGCUACCAUUUGGGGGUGGGAUGGGGUUCCAAUUAAACUCUAUACCUUCUCUAGGCUGGUUACAAGUACUAAUUGGAACAGUGUGUUAAACCAUUUGCCCAGGGCCCAUCAUCCUUUAAGAAGGGCAGAAUAAAUAAGUGUAUCUGCUGUGGCUUCUAUUACCAUUUCAGAAGGAUAAAAGGCACGUGCUAGUGAUAAAGUCCCAUUCUAUCCAGGUGACAGCCUUUGCAAACACACUCAGGGUAUCGGAAGCCCCGAGACCCAGGUUGGAAUCCCUGGAUUCUUUUGUGUAGAGUUCUGGCCCCUAGCCAUCCCUGACUGUCUACAGAGGAAAAAUUUGGGGUGAUGUCUUUAAUAAAGUCUCUGUCCCAUCUUUCCCCAACUAAGUGUCAGAAGCCCAUGCAGGAGGCAGAUGGGUCAGCAUAGGUCAGGGUUGACUGAGCGUAAAAACAGGGUCAUUUGCAUGACAGCUUAGGUGAAGGAUCUCAGGCCCUUGCUCCUCCAGACCUGACUUUGGGACAAGUUUAAAGCUAGAGGUUAGUUAGAAACAUCUGGGCUAGAGGAACCCAGAGCUGGGCCCAAACAGGCACCUUUCUUGUUUGGGUUGCAAAGUCCAUGUGCCAGGCUGGGUACCAGGCAGAGGGAGCCUGUUUUCUUACCUAUGAAACAAAGACCUAGAGCGAAGCCUGCAGCCCUCUCUAGCUUCUCUGCUUAGCCAAUAUUUUGGGUGGCAUAUGCUGAUGAGAUGUAAAUUUUAUUGCAUAUGCAGAUGACAUGUAAAUCAGCACACAAAUGAACAUCGGUUUCCUGCUGUCAGAACAGAAAAGCAGGGAAGGGAAGGACCAUGGCGCGGGUUUUUCCAGAAGGUUCUCUCUAGUUCAGGUUGCAUGAGGGGAACCCAGAGGAAUCUCACAGAGGAUACAACUCUUAUAGCACCAGUGGUGGGGCCCAUGGAGCACACAAAAUCCCAAGCAAGGAGGCCACAGGGGUGCAGCCUUGCCUGUCAGUACACUGCCCCUUCUAAUUUGCCUUGGUCUCACCUCUACCUCCCCACACCACCCAAAAGGACAGGCUUCCGUGCUCAUGGUUGACGGGAAAGGAGGAAGCUGUUUGGUGAAGCAAGAGACCCAGGCCUGAAGGUCUGGUCUGGGACCAAAAAAAGCCCUCUUUUGUCUUUAGCCACUCUCUGGUCAUCCCUUUCCCAGUGACUGGCAGUGUGGCCCUGGCCAGUGUCUGGCAUGCCGUAGGAAGCUGCCCACCUCGUGUUGGGUUCUCCUUUGGCCUGUCAACCAGCCAACAAAUGCACAUGUAUUAAGUAUCUUCUGUGUGCUGAGGACUAUGCCAGCAUAGGAUGCAAAACGGAAUGGACCAGCUCUGUUUUCAGGGUGUUGAUAUUUGGAUGAGGGAGGGGUGAAAAGAAAAAGAAAGAACAGGGCAAAUAUGAUACGUCAUAAAUGCGAGCUGGGUAAAAGCUUAGGGCACUGAGAGAAGUGGAGACGCUGGAACCAUCUAGUGAGAAGAGCUCUAAGAAGUGUAGGCGCCAAGGCCCUGAGGUAGGAACACAAUCUCUCCUUCUAGGGAUUAGAACGCCAGGAGCUAGUGUGGCUAGAGAGAAGCAAGGGAUGUGUGUGUAAGGCAGAAGAUAGUAUCUUAAAGCCAACUGUGCAUGGGCGGGUGGAGAUGUCACACACCUUUGAUCCCAGCAUUCAGGGGGCAGAAGCAGGUGGAUCUCUGAGUUUAAGGCCAGCCUGGUCUACAGAGUGAGUUCCAGGAGAGCCAAGGCUACUCUGUCUCAAAAAACAUAGUAGUAGUAGUAGUAGUAGUAGUAGUACCAGCAACAGCAGUAAUGCCAACUGUGCCAUGGCACACACCUCUAAUCCUAGCACAUAGGAGAUGGAGGCAGAAGGAUAUCAGGAGUUCAAGGCCAACCAGCUUUGGCUACACAGAGAAUGUGAGCCUAUACUACAUGAAACCCUGUUUC
rnacentral:lncRNA from 1 species